rnacentral:rRNA from 1 species
GGAAUAUUGGACAAUGGGCGAAAGCCUGAUCCAGCAAUGCCGCGUGAGUGAUGAAGGCCUUAGGGUUGUAAAGCUCUUUUACACGGGAUGAUAAUGACAGUACCGGGAGAAUACGCCCCGGCUAACUCCGUGCCAGCAGCCGCGGUAAUACGGAGGGGGCUAGCGUUGUUCGGAAUUACUGGGAGUAAAGGGCGCGCAGGCGGCUGCUCAAGUCAGGCGUGAAAGGCCUGGGCUCAACCCGGGAAUUGCGUUUGAGACUGGGCUGGCUUGAGUGCGGGAGAGGAUGGUGGAAUUCCCAGUGUAGAGGUGAAAUUCGUAGAUAUUGGGAAGAACACCGGUGGCGAAGGCGGCCAUCUGGACCGCAACUGACGCUGAGGCGCGAAAGCGUGGGGAGCAAA